rnacentral:tRNA from 1 species
UCCUCGUUAGUAUAGUGGUGAGUAUCCCCAUCUGUCACGCGGGAGACCUGGGUUCGGUUCCCCAAUGGGGAG